UCGAGAAUCAUUCGCAAUGGGCGAAAGCCUGACGAUGCGACGCCGUGUGGACGAUGAAGGCCUUCGGGUUGUAAAGUCCUUUCGCCUGGGAACAAGAAAUGCGGACCAAUAAUCCGCAAAUUUGAGGGUACCAGGUAAAGAAGCACCGGCUAACUCCGUGCCAGCAGCUGCGGUAAUACGGAGGGUGCAAGCGUUAAUCGGAUUUAUUGGGCGUAAAGGGGGCGUAGGCGGGAAUAAAAGUCAGAUGUGAAAUUCUGGGGCUCAACCCCAGAGCCGCACCUGAAACUCUAUUUCUAGAGGAUAGGCGGAGAAAACGGAAUUCCACAAGUAGCGGUGAAAUGCGUAGAUAUGUGGAAGAACACCAGUGGCGAAGGCGGUUUUCUAGCUUAUUCCUGACGCUAAUGCCCGAAAGCAAGGGGAGCAAACAGGAUUAGAUACCCGCGUAGUCC
rnacentral:rRNA from 1 species